GACAGAGGGUGCAAACGUUGUUCGGAAUUACUGGGCGUAAAGCGUGUGUAGGCGGCUUUGCAAGUCGGAUGUGAAAGCCCUGGGCUCAACCCAGGAAGUGCACUCGAUACUGCAGAGCUUGAGUAUCGGAGAGGUUGGUGGAAUUCUCGGUGUAGAGGUGAAAUUCGUAGAUAUCGAGAGGAACACCGGUGGCGAAGGCGGCCAACUGGACGAAUACUGACGCUGAGACGCGAAAGCUAGGGGAGCAAACGAG
rnacentral:rRNA from 1 species